rnacentral:lncRNA from 1 species
GCCUGGUUUAUUAUAGUUUUAACUUUUAAAACAAUUUCAAUUAUUGUAUUUAUAUAUCUUUUUUAAAUUCAUACUCCGACAAUUCCUACUGGAAUCACGCCCAGUCUAUCCCCGAAGAGAUCAUUGGGGGAAGAAAGACGCCAGCUAUGACUCCGCAGAAAAACAGGCAGCAAGCAACAGAAGAUUCCUCCAAGUACUAUACAAACAUAGAAGACCCAAUACAACAAGAAGAGGAGGAAGAGGACGAUGAUGAUAUACUGAGUAAAAUAUCUAAGCAGGUUGAUACAUUCAAUGAAGAAGAUGAUGUGUUGAGCUAUGAUGAGGAUGAUGUAUGAUGCGGCUAACUACCUUGAUACAAUCAAUUCUGAGGUAGAGCCUAUACUGAUUGAAUAUAGUGUCAGUGAGGACAAGGAUCAGGAUACAGAUCUUCAAGAUAGGUUUCUCACAGCCUUUUACAGGACUCUAAAAGCCAGAGUGUUCCAGCUACACAAACUUAUGAUUGUUUUGCUAAGACGUCAGUACAGCCAAGACAUAGCCUUAUGGAAGUCAACCAUGCCAAGCAGCAUUCUGAUAAAAAAAAAAAACGCCCAAACAAAUGAUAAAGCCGUAUGUAACAUGGAUACUUUAAGAAUACCCCCAGAACUUCUCCUUAAUUAACCAAAUUAAUGAGCUAACCUCUCCUUCAACACCACCCCCCACAACAACACCCACCUCCUCUUUUAAAUCAUGCAAAUGAUGACACAUCACAGAUAUCACCAGAACCUUUCUCCUUAAUAAACCAAAUUAACGAGAGAGGCCCAACCCCCCCACAAACACUCACCCUCCUAUAACCCCUGCACAUGAUGACACAUUAUCACAGGUACCCCAAGAACUUAGAUUCUUAAUUAACCAAUGAAUAAGCUAACCCCUCUUUCAACAACACCCCCACACAUCAAAACCUACCUCAAACAACCCCUGCAGGCUAUGAAGACAAUGAGCAACCAUAUUAUGAUUUUGAUGAAUUGGAAAAUUGUGUAAUAAAUCAGAUGGGAGAUGGUAUUGAUAUAAGUGAGUGUGUUUUGUACCGC